GGGGAAUAUUGCACAAUGGAGGAAACUCUGAUGCAGCGACGCCGCGUGAGUGAAGAAGGUCUUCGGAUCGUAAAACUCUGUCCUUGGUGACGAAAAAAAUGACGGUAGCCAAGGAGGAAGCCCCGGCUAACUACGUGCCAGCAGCCGCGGUAAUACGUAGGGGACAAGCGUUGUCCGGAUUUACUGGGCGUAAAGGGCACGCAGGCGGUUUUUUAAGUCAGAUGUGAAAGGUACCGGCUCAACCGUAGUAAGCUCUUGAAACUGGGAAACUUGAGUGCAGGAGAGGAAAGUGGAAUUCCUAGUGUAGCGGUGAAAUGCGUAGAUAUUAGGAGGAACACCAGUAGCGAAGGCGGCUUUCUGGACUGUAACUGACACUGAGGCACGAAAGCGUGGGGAGCAAACA
rnacentral:rRNA from 2 species